GUCACGGUUGACUUAUUAUUCGCCCGCGCCUUUGAAUGUGAAUUCGAAUUGUACUUUGGAGUGAAGUAUUAAGUGAGGAAUUUUAUAUUUUUUUAAAUGCGUUGCGCAGUGUUCGAUUGCAACUGCAGAAGCAGUUUAAAAUGGGUUUAAGCUCGCGGAAUCCAACGAAGUUAUUACCUAGCGCUUUUCCCAUGUUAACCACUGCUCCUGUAGAGAUUAAUGAACGACAGAAAAUGAUAUAGUCUGGUUUAAACCAGGACGUUUUAGAAAUCUCUAACCGGUAAUAUUUUUAACGUCUUUCAAUAGAUCUAAACUCCGCUGGCCCAACUGAAAAAAAUUGAUGACGUGAAGAUUCUCAACAACGACGGACUUGAGAAUUUGGCAGGGUACAUCUGCCACAAACUUGGUAAAGACAACAAUUUGUGACAAUUCAGAAAAUUGUUCAUCUUAUACUUGGGUGGAUCCCCUUUCUGAAGGAGGACUCUCAAAAAAACAGAUAUGUUGAUGGAGCAUAUGAGAGCAUUGCAAGCAGUA